UCACUUUUCUCCUUGUGCACAGUUUUCUGAAAGGGGACAGCACUCUCUACUUCUAAUGUAGUGAUCCAGAGAUGUUGAAAGGCAAAGAGACCCUUCACAGAAGCCCAUUCAGACACAACCAUACCUAGGACUAUGUAACACAGAACGAGAGGAACAAAGACUUGUGAACAUCUUGAAGCUGAAGACAAUGCCGCAGGUCCUUGGUUCCAUCCCUCACCCUCUGCCACUGACAGUUACAUCAAAGUGCUCCAUUCCUGACCUUCCAAUGCACAGGUACCUAUGAAAGGGCUGAUUCAUGUAUGCCACUGGAUGGAAUUAUGGAGAACUUCAAACAUUUGUGAAAGAAAGUCUUACAACACCCCUCCCCCC
rnacentral:lncRNA from 1 species